rnacentral:lncRNA from 1 species
UAACUGCUUGUUACCGUUUGACUUUGAUUCCUUAACUAAAGGGGAUUCCUUAUGCUGAUUUGAUUAGGAUUGAUACCCAGUUUAUUAAUUAUAGACUUCCACCUUGUUUGUUUACUCGUUUCUGUAUUAUAAGUACCCCCCAUUCUCUUUUGCAUAGGACACCAACACAUUGCAUAUCUCUCUCACACAAAGGCACAAAUUCAAUCUCUCUAAACUCUCUUUCAAAACACUCAGUGUUGUCUCCCUUUCUCUAUUGUUUCUAUGCAAACUCUCUCAUUCUUCUAUUGAAUACUCAAUCGGCUGAAAGCCAAGAUUGAGCAAUCUUGGCUGUUUAUUUCUACUACUGGGGUUCUACUACAUUGUUUGUUUAGGUUUGCCUGCUGCCUACUUCUCUGCACGCUACUGCUCUCACUCUCUACACACUCUCUGCACACUCUCUGCACACUCUGCUCUCCUUUGUGCAUUAUUUCUCAUUACUAGUGUGUAGCAUUAGCUGCAACUGGUAUGUCACCUAUUUAAGUUACAGCUUUCAAAACAACAUGCUUAUACUAGUUUUACACUUCACCCUAUUUCUUGUGUGUUUUUGUUUUUGGUUAUGUUAUUCUCAUUGCCAAUAACAUGUACUUAUUAGUUUGCCUAGCUUGACUUAGCAUGUUCACUACCCCUCCCUAUCUCAAUAUAUGUUUUUCCUCAUUCCUAUGCACUAUCUAGCAUGUAUUCAGGCAUGCUUGGUUACUUAACAGUCCUGAAACCUCUUCUUGAGUAUAAUUAUAUUUGGAGUUUGGUACAGUAAGAACUGAACUCCUUGUCUGUAGCCAUGUUUUUUUCCUUGAUGUGUUGUACAUGUGAAUGGUUUACUUGCUUAUUUGUUCCCUUCCCCUUUGCCCCUGCUUGUGUGAUUCUCUUGUUUUCAAACUGGUCAGGCCAAAUGAAUUUCACAAGAUUCUUUCAACUCUUCUUACUGUUUUCCUCUUAAACUGUCUCUCAACUGUUUUCAACUCUUUCAACUCUAUCACAAUCUCACUACUCUUAAAACUUAGGUUCUGCCCCCUUAGUGUAAGCAUUGCCUUGGAGCCUUGAGCACCCACUGAACUUUGAUGCACAAGGCUGACACUUCUACACUUGCACUUGUCAAUAAUGAUAUAUUCUGGGUGCUUGGUAUUGGCCAGGGGUUCAAACAAACCCUUUAGGGAACUUUGCCGUAUCCAAACCUUUGUAAAGGCUGUGAAACUUGAAAGAGGUGAGGUUGGAGAUUUUGGGGUUGGCUGUAGGCUCCCUAUAUAAUAACUUCUUAUUUUUUAUUACUGUUGUAUUUUUAAUCAUUUGGGCUGUAAUAAUUUCUAAAGAAUAGUGGGUAUGUAGUGAAUUUGGGAGGGUUAUGCAUGCUUAGUUGAGGGAAUGGGUAGAAAACAUGUU